rnacentral:rRNA from 1 species
GAAAGUAGCUUGCUACUUUGCUGACGAGCGGCGGACGGGUGAGUAAUGCUUGGGAACAUGCCUUGAGGUGGGGGACAACAGUUGGAAACGACUGCUAAUACCGCAUAAUGUCUACGGACCAAAGGGGGCUUCGGCUCUCGCCUUUAGAUUGGCCCAAGUGGGAUUAGCUAGUUGGUGAGGUAAUGGCUCACCAAGGCGACGAUCCCUAGCUGGUUUGAGAGGAUGAUCAGCCACACUGGGACUGAGACACGGCCCAGACUCCUACGGGAGGCAGCAGUGGGGAAUAUUGCACAAUGGGCGCAAGCCUGAUGCAGCCAUGCCGCGUGUGUGAAGAAGGCCUUCGGGUUGUAAAGCACUUUCAGUCAGGGAGGAAAGGUUAGUAGUUAAUACCUGCUAGCUGUGACGUUACUGACAGAAGAAGCACCGGCUAACUCCGUGCCAGCAGCCGCGGUAAUACGGAGGGUGCGAGCGUUAAUCGGAAUUACUGGGCGUAAAGCGUACGCAGGCGGUUUGUUAAGCGAGAUGUGAAAGCCCCGGGCUCAACCUGGGAACUGCAUUUCGAACUGGCAAACUAGAGUGUGAUAGAGGGUGGUAGAAUUUCAGGUGUAGCGGUGAAAUGCGUAGAGAUCUGAAGGAAUACCGAUGGCGAAGGCAGCCACCUGGGUCAACACUGACGCUCAUGUACGAAAGCGUGGGGGAGCAAA